AUGAACGCUAGCGGGAGGCCUAACACAUGCAAGCCGAGCGGUAGAGAUUCUUCGGGAUCUUGAGAGCGGCGUACGGGUGCGGAACACGUGUGCAACCUGCUUUUAUCUGGGGGAUAGCCUUUCGAAAGGAAGAUUAAUACCCCAUAAUAUAAGAGACGGCAUCGUUUUUUAUUAAAAACUCCGGUGGAUAGAGAUGGGCACGCGCAAGAUUAGAUAGUUGGUGAGGUAACGGCUCACCAAGUCUACGAUCUUUAGGGGGCCUGAGAGGGUGAUCCCCCACACUGGUACUGAGACACGGACCAGACUCCUACGGGAGGCAGCAGUGAGGAAUAUUGGACAAUGGGUGAGAGCCUGAUCCAGCCAUCCCGCGUGAAGGACGACGGCCCUAUGGGUUGUAAACUUCUUUUGUAUAGGGAUAAACCUACCCUCGUGAGGGUAGCUGAAGGUACUAUACGAAUAAGCACCGGCUAACUCCGUGCCAGCCGCCGCCGUAA
rnacentral:rRNA from 1 species